rnacentral:rRNA from 1 species
UACGUAGGGUGCAAGCGUUGUCCGGAAUUAUUGGGCGUAAAGAGCUCGUAGGCGGUCUGUCGCGUCGGCUGUGAAAACCCGGAGCUCAACUCCGGGCCUGCAGUCGAUACGGGCAAACUGGAGUGUUGCAGGGGAGACUGGAAUUCAUGGUGUAGCAGUGAAAUGCGUAGAGAUCAUGAGGAACACCGGUGGCGAAGGCGGGUCUCUGGGCAUCUCCUGACGCUGAGGCGCGAAAGCGUGGGGAGCAAACGGG